rnacentral:lncRNA from 1 species
UUGGGAUAUGGUUGAAGUUUGAAGUAGGUGAUACCACUAUCCUUUGAACUUGAAUUUUUUGGUUUUUUAUUUUAUUUUAUUUUAUUAUUUGCAUACUUCUGCUUUUGAUUUGUUUGUUUGUUUUUUGUGUAGGUUACCUGCUUGAGGAUAACACAACAUUUUUGAGCUUCAAGGAGGAGGUGGGCAACCUCGAUUUUACCUCACAUUGCCC